rnacentral:rRNA from 1 species
GCUAAUGCCCGGCCAGCAGGGGGGAUGAUGCGGGGGGGGGUGGGGUGUGUCGGAAUUACUGGGCGGAAAGCGCACGUAGGCGUCUGUUUAAGUGAGGGGUGAAAUCCCGGGGCUCAACCACGGAACUGCCUCUGAAACUGGAAAGCUAGAAUCUUGGAGAGGCGAGUGGAAUUCCGAGUGUAGAGGUGAAAUUCGUAGAUAUUCGGAAGAACACCAGUGGCGAAGGCGACUCGCUGGACAAGUAUUGACGCUGAGGUGCGAAAGCGUGGGGAGCAAACAGGAUUAGAUACCCCUGUAGUC